rnacentral:rRNA from 1 species
UACGUAGGGACCAAGCGUUGUUCGGAUUUACUGGGCGUAAAGGGCGCGCAGGCGGCGCAUUUUGUCAGGCGUGAAAGCCCCGGGCUUAACCUGGGAACUGCGUUUGAUACGGAUGGGCUAGAGUUCGGGAGAGGAGAGUGGAAUUCCCAGUGUAGAGGUGAAAUUCGUAGAUAUUGGGAAGAACACCGGUGGCGAAGGCGGCUCACUGGCCCGGUACUGACGCUGAGGUGCGAAAGCGUGGGGAGCAAACAGG